AACGCAGGUGGUUUGGUAAGUCAGGGGUGAAAGUCCACAGCUUAACUGUGGCACUGCCUCUGAUACUGCCUUUCUUGAGUAGAGUAGGGGGAAGUGGAAUUCCGAGUGUAGAGGUGAAAUUCGUAGAUAUUCGGAGGAACACCGGUGGCGAAGGCGGCUUCCUGGACUCUAACUGACACUCAUGUUCGAAAGCGUGGGUAGCAAACAGGAUUAGAUACCCUGGUAGUCCACGCCCUAAACGAUGGGCACUAGGUGUGGGAGGUAUCGACCCCUUCCGUGCCGCAGCUAACGCAUUAAGUGCCCCGCCUGGGGAGUACGGCCGCAAGGUUGAA
rnacentral:rRNA from 1 species